UGUUCCCUGGACUAUCAAACCUCCUUAAAUCAUCCCUGGAAUCAGCAAUCUGGAAAAAAGACCAAUUAUCAAGUCACAGGGGCAUGGAUGGAGGAAAACAGCAUCAAACUUGCAAGAAACAAAAACAUGGAUUGUGGAUCCCCCAUGGUGCCAGGAGAGGUGAUAGGGACAGAGAGCCAACAGUUUCUGAACCUCAGUCUUGCUACCUGGAAAUGGAGACGCUAAUCCUCAUGGGAGAGCUCUUUUGCACUACACAGAGGAAUAAACAAGAGAAAGAAAUGUGUAAAACGGAUUCACUCUUGAAGGCCUUACACUGGGAUCAGACAUCUCUCUCUAUAUAUACUUUAAAAAACUGAAGGUUGGCUCAGAGAGGACCCAGAAAAGGAGAAAACGAUGCCGAAGUACAACUGUUGUAUUACAUCGAUUUGAUGGUGGAUGCCACAAACCAACUCAGGUACGGGGCUCCCAGAUAUUUUUGGAAAUGUACCUACUACCCUAUUCUUUCCAUGAAAAUAUGCAUUGAAAAA